rnacentral:sRNA from 1 species
UUACACUUAAUAAAUUUGACGAAACAAU